rnacentral:rRNA from 1 species
GAUGAACGCUGGCGGCGUGCCUAAUACAUGCAAGUCGAGCGAACGGACGAGAAGCUUGCUUCUCUGAUGUUAGCGGCGGACGGGUGAGUAACACGUGGAUACCCUACCUAUAAGACUGGGAUAACUUCGGGAAACCGGAGCUAAUACCGGAUAAUAUUUUGAACCGCAUGGUUCAAUAGUGAAAGACGGUUUUGCUGUCACUUAUAGAUGGAUCCGCGCUGCAUUAGCUAGUUGGUAAGGUAACGGCUUACCAAGGCAACGAUGCAUAGCCGACCUGAGAGGGUGAUCGGCCACACUGGAACUGAGACACGGUCCAGACUCCUACGGGAGGCAGCAGUAGGGAAUCUUCCGCAAUGGGCGAAAGCCUGACGGAGCAACGCCGCGUGAGUGAUGAAGGUCUUCGGAUCGUAAAACUCUGUUAUUAGGGAAGAACAUAUGUGUAAGUAACUGUGCACAUCUUGACGGUACCUAAUCAGAAAGCCACGGCUAACUACGUG